UGUCCAGCACACGACUGACGCUCAUGCACGAAAGCGUGGGUAUCGAACAGGAUUAGAUACCCUGGUAGUCCACGCGGUAAACGAUGAUAACUAGUUAUUCGGCGCGACUGAGCGCUGAGUGACCGAGCGAAAGCGUUAAGUUAUCCACCUGGGGAGUACGCCGGCAACGGUGAAACUCAAAGGAAUUGACGGGGGCCCGCACAAGCGGAGGAACAUGUGGUUUAAUUCGAUGAUACGCGAGGAACCUUACCCGGGCUCAAACGCAGCGCGACAGACCCUGAAAGGGGUUUUUCUUCGGACGCGCUGCGAGGUGCUGCAUGGUUGUCGUCAGCUCGUGCCGUGAGGUGUCGGCUUAAGUGCCAUAACGAGCGCAACCCCCAUCUUCAGUUGCCCCCGGGUAAAGCCGGGCACUCUGGAGAGACUGCCGGCGCAAGCUGUGAGGAAGGCGGGGAUGACGUCAAAUCAGCACGGCCCUUACGUCCGGUGAGAGGCGGGGGGUACAAGGGCGGGGCAACAGAGGGAAGCCAGGCGGCGACGCCGAGCGGAUCCCGAAAACCCGUCUCAGUUCGGAUCGGAGUCUGCAACCCGACUCCGUGAAGCU
rnacentral:rRNA from 1 species